rnacentral:lncRNA from 1 species
UGUAACCAUUAUGAGUUUCUUAUUUUUCAAUUACCAUGCAGAAAAGUGAGCUUCUGAUAGGAGUGUAUAUUCUGGUGAAUUUUUUUAACAUGUGCACAGAUACAUUUGACCAUCACCAUACUCGAGGAAGACAAGUGUUGGCAUCAAAGAGCCGUGCCCCACCCCACUCCUCAUCUGUACCAUGCAGUAUCUAGAAAUGUGAGGAGAGUCCUCCAGCCACCAUGAAUAUCUACACUUCAUCCUAUUGGAUGGAGUUUGAAGACCACAGGAUACUGAAGAGAAACACAGGGGUAGCUGAGAAGACUGGGAGGCUCCUGAGGACCAAAAUGGUAGAGGAGAGAGCCACCUUCUGCAAGCUGUCCUUCUCUGACCUCCACACAUGCACUGUGAAGCACAGACUCCAGCUCCAGGGAUCUGAUGUCAUCAUCUGGCCUCUGUAGACACCUGCACUUAUGUAGACAUAACAGAGAUCGAGCGAGCGAGAGAUUAUUAAAAAUAAUAAAAGUACAUCUUUAAAGAGAAAUACUAAUGGUAAGACAGAUGACAUCUGCGAUUUCCAUACCGAUGUCUAAUUCCAACACAGUUAGAUCCUGUGAUUAUAUCAACAGGGAUGUGGCAUCUGCCAAUGAACCACUAGGCCAAUCAAGUGAUAAAUCAAACAAAGGACAGUUGUGAAAUCACUGAGAAGUGAUUGCAAAGCAUGAAGAGAGAUUAUCCAUCCUGCUGAGUUACAUAGGUGUAGAGACCACACAUGAGAGUGAUAGGCUGUGAUUCCUGAGAUCUAAGGAGAGCGGCUCAUAACACAAAUGCAACAACUUAGCAGGGAGUGGAUAUUUUAUCGCAAGCUCUCUGGAAAGUCUCGUCUAUGUAUAAUAUAACAGCAAUCUGGGGACUCUCUUGAGAUUGACUUUCAAAUAUCUAAAGUUGACAGAAGCCAUCCCAGAGAACUUGGGAAUCAUAAUUUUACAUGCACCAAAAUCCUAGCAGGAAAUAGAAUCCACCACAGAUGGUCAGGAUGAAGAUACAUCUCAUAGGUAGGUUGAUGAUGGUUCCGAGAACCAGAUAUGGUGAUGUGCCCUCCUAAACUGUUCAUAGAAGAAGGUAGAAAGCCAUUUCUGCUUGCAGGACUGGAGGAUAUGGAUACAUAAGUCACCGGAAGCCACUGAAAACUGGGCUGUAGAGAAGAAGACGUCCUGCCAGACUUGUAGUGGUACAAAGAUUGAACUGCAAUCAGAAGAUGACAUCAAAGUAAGGGGCCAACAGAGGGACAUCCUGACUCUCUUUCUUUUCCUUCCUGUCUUCUUUGGAUGUUUCCCAAAAACACACAGCAGGAAAUCUCAGGUGUUCUGCUUCAUUCCAAGGCACAGUGUUGAUCCUCAGUGGGACUGAAGGUGUGGAACAGGAUGUCAAAAGAAGUCAAAAAAACUUCAAAAUUGGCCCAAAAUAAAAAGAGCAUAUUCGUCAAAUCAAAAGAAACCACAAAAGACACCGAUUCAAGUGAAUCUUAGGCUCUGUGAAGCACAGGAAGAAGACACUGAUGUCAGGAAUUGCCUUAUGCAGAUAAAGUGCUUUGAAAUUUUGUUCCAGACCUUGAGUGAAGUUUCUGUCUGCCUCUGGAGUAUAUUGCUCUCACCGAUGAAUAGGACGCUAUGAACUUGCCCUUUAAUUGGCUGGUCAAAAAAGUAGGCAGCACAUUCACUCAUGGAGUGGAUGACGUACAGAGAGGGACUCCAGACAAGCAUGCAUAGGCAGAAACCUUGCCGAGCAGAAGAUGCUGCCUUAAGUUAGAGGUCAGGCUCAGGAAGGAGUCAAAGAGCCCAUUGUGCUGCUGAGAAUUACCCACAGCCAAAUGCAUGCUGAGCCUUGCUUCCUGCACGGCGGAUACUGCUUACAGUCCCGUGAUUUUAAAAAAUAACUCUUUCUUCGUACAUCAGAGAUUACCACAAGUCACAGACCUUGUGAGCCAACCCGAACCUGGCUGGUGUCAGAGACUGACCAUCUAUUAUCCAAGAGCUGUCUCCUCCUCCUCCCAGGAAGGAUUUAGGAACUGCAGGCUGUACCAUUGACAAAGCUUCCCCCCAAGAUGAUGAAGCUGUAAUGCAAAUACAUGAGAUUCCCGCCAGAGGAACCUGAAGGAGGGCGAUGAAGUAUCAGAAGAGGACAGGACAAGGGAAGCAACUCACAGCCCUCCAGAACUGUCAAUCAAGGAUUUAGAGGGAUUUAGAAAGACAGUUUUAAAGGGAGCAUCAACCUUUCCUAUCAUGUUUAUAGCAGCCAAACAUAAGAUUUAAAGAUGCUGGCUUUCACAGAAUGACCCAGAAAGAUUAAAUCAGAGCCAACCUCAGAAUUAAGUGUGCCAGAUGCUGCACUGAGCCCUACAAUCAUCUUGUUUAAUCUCUCUGACGUCUGUGAUGGGUACGGUUAUCAUCUCUCCAUGACAGGUGGGGAAACUGAGGCUUUGGCCUUAUGCAACUCUAGGACCAAGCAGAGGGGUGUUGAAUCCACUAUUAGGUGUUACCUCUGAAAUGAAGAAAUGGUAGGUACCAUGAGUGUCCAGUAAAUAUUAAUUAAAGAUCUCUCAUGUUGAUCAGGCCAAAUAAAAGCAUGAUUGGAUUAACAGAGAGCUGGCUCUGAGCUGUUAUGUAACAUGGUGUAUAUUACUUGAUGUAUCUGGGUAACAUUAUCUUCAUCAGAAAGAUUAGAUGUUGUGUGGGUAAAAGGACAUGAGGAAUAAGGCAUACAAUUCAAAUAAGCCAUGCAUUAUGUCUAAACCAGAGUCCCCACUGUCACUCCGAUCCAAGCUCCAGCUGUCUGAAAUUACUUCUCUCCCCUAGAACAAAGGCACAUGGGGACUGGAAAGACACAAUCCUUCCACUCCUCGGUCCCCUGUGGCUUGGCGGAGAAGGGCACUGUUGUAACCAAGAACGGCCCUUCCUCAUAACCACCACUGUGUUCUCACCACAUGAUCUUCUUGGUUCCAGUCAAAAGCCCUGUGCCCACUCCUGACUUGAAAGGACCCACAGAGGAUUUUUCUCUUUGCUUAGCUCUGUGGCUCUUUCCUAGCAGUUGGAAUACAGAAAUAUUUUCCACCCAAAACGACCACAUAAUGACAGGAAAAAGCUGUUAGACUCUGUGCAGAGGGAAACCAUCGUCUCGAGUGUUUUCAGACAUUCCUUUGCUUUAUUUUAAAAGGAAUCCUCUCUGUUUCCUUUAAAGGCAUUAAGGAGAAGUGACCGGUCAGGAUUCACUGGACCAUAGACUUGGUUACUUUUAUAUCCAUUCGUAUCCUGCCCCGCAGGGUUCAUUUCUCUGCUUCACUCAAGAACCAUCUGUCUCAGUCGUACUCAUAGCCCUCAUCUACCCAGACUCUCAAAGUCUGAGAGUCUGUCUCCACGUUCCUCAGGUAGACGUCUUCGACACUCUCCAUAGGAACAAAUCCUAUGUAAAGCCUAAGGUCAUGGUUUCUUCCCCAGAGUUUUUCAUUAAUUAAUUUAUUUAUUCACUUUACAUCCCAAGCCCAGGAUAACAGCCCCUUUCCCUCCUCUCCCCCAGUCCUCCCCUCCCAUUCCCUUUCCCUAUCCCCCCUCCUCUUCUCUUUAGAGAAGGAGAGACUACGCCCCUGGAUACCAACCUGUCCUGGAACAUCAAUUCUCACCAGGACUAAGUGCAUCUUUUUCCCACUGAGGCCAAGCAAGGCAGCCCAGCUAAGAGAAGGGGAUCCAAAGGCAGGCCACAGAGUCAGAGUCAGAGUCAGAGACAGGCCCCGCUCCAAUCAUUGGGGGACUCAUAUGAAGACCAACUCCACAUCUGCUACAUAUGUGUAGGGAUUUCAUGUAUUUUCAUUACUCUGCCUGAGAGCCUGAAUCCAGGGAUCCACCCAACAGAUACUUGGAAAACAUGCUGAAAGUAAGCUUCGAAGUAUCAAGGAAACCAUUCACUAAUAGACUAAGAUGAAAAUAUAUUAUGAUGAAUGUAUUUCUAAUAAAGGCCAUCCUUUC